GACGAACGCUGGCGGCGUGCUUAACACAUGCAAGUCGAACGAUGAACCCGGAGCUUGCUCUGGGGGAUUAGUGGCGAACGGGUGAGUAACACGUGAGUAACCUACCCUGGACUCUGGGAUAAGCGUUGGAAACGACGUCUAAUACCGGAUAGGACCUUGGAUCGCAUGAUCUGGGGUGGAAAGUUUUUUCGGUCUGGGAUGGACUCGCGGCCUAUCAGCUUGUUGGUGAGGUAAUGGCUCACCAAGGCGUCGACGGGUAGCCGGCCUGAGAGGGUGACCGGCCACACUGGGACUGAGACACGGCCCAGACUCCUACGGGAGGCAGCAGUGGGGAAUAUUGCACAAUGGGCGAAAGCCUGAUGCAGCAACGCCGCGUGCGGGAUGACGGCCUUCGGGUUGUAAACCGCUUUUAGUAGGGAAGAAGGGCUUCGGCUUGACGGUACCUGCAGAAAAAGGACCGGCUAACUACGUG
rnacentral:rRNA from 1 species